rnacentral:sRNA from 1 species
AGAUGAAUGUGCUACAUCAAGUCACAACUGUGAACAGAUUUGUGAAAAUACUGAAGGAAAGUUCAACUGUAAAUGCUUUUAUGGAUUUACCCUGGACAUUGAUAGAGCCCACUGCGUCAAAAGAGAUGUUGAUGUGUGUGGAGGGUCAAAUUUAAAUUGCAGUGACAUCUGUACCAUAGACCUGGUCACCAACACAUCUCAUUGCUCAUGUAACAGUGGCUAUAGUCUUCAAGGCACUAACACAUGUGUGGAUAUCAAUGAGUGUGACUAUAACUCUCUGAACCUGUGUGGAGAGAAAGAGAAAUGUGUGAACAGUGUUGGUGGAUUCACCUGUUCAUGUUCACCUGGGUUCAAACUGGACAAUGACAAAAGAACAU